GAUGAACGCUGGCGGCGUGCCUAAUACAUGCAAGUCGAGCGAACAGAUGAGGAGCUUGCUCCUCUGACGUUAGCGGCGGACGGGUGAGUAACACGUGGAUAACCUACCUAUAAGACUGGGAUAACUUCGGGAAACCGGAGCUAAUACCGGAUAAUAUAUUGAACCGCAUGGUUCAAUAGUGAAAGACGGUUUUGCUGUCACUUAUAGAUGGAUCCGCGCCGCAUUAGCUAGUUGGUAAGGUAACGGCUUACCAAGGCAACGAUGCGUAGCCGACCUGAGAGGGUGAUCGGCCACACUGGAACUGAGACACGGUCCAGACUCCUACGGGAGGCAGCAGUAGGGAAUCUUCCGCAAUGGGCGAAAGCCUGCCGGAGCAACGCCGCGCGAGUGAUGAAGGUCUUCGGAUCGUAAAACUCUGUUAUUAGGGAAGAACAAAUGUGUAAGUAACUAUGCACGUCUUGACGGUACCUAAUCAGAAAGCCACGGCUAACUACGUG
rnacentral:rRNA from 1 species